GAGCACGUAGGUGGGUUUGUAAGUCGGGUGUGAAAGCCCCUGGCUCAACCAGGGAACUACAUUUGAUACUGUGAGGCUUGAGGACAGGAGGGGAGAGUGGAACUUCUGGUGGAGCGGUGAAAUGCGUAGAUAUCAGAAGGAACGCCGGCGGCGAAAGCGAUUCUCUGGCCUAUAACUGACACUGAGUGUGCGAAAGCUAGGGGAGCAAACGGGAUUAGAUACCCCGGUAGUCCUAGCCGUAAACGAUGGGCACUAAGUAGAGGGGUUU
rnacentral:rRNA from 1 species